GAAAUAUCAAGCAUAUCUCCAAGAGAAACAAAAUAAAGAUGAAGAUCUGGGACGUCAGAUCAUAAAACAGGCAGAGCUUCACCAGGCGGCAUGAUUUUAGGAGGGUCACCACAGGCUGGACUGUGGAUUGUCAGUUUCUUGGGGCACCCAGAAGUGGGGAUGCUUAGAGAAUAAGUCUCAUAUGUAUAAACAAGAACACCAAGGUUGCUUCAUGCACAUGAAAGCAGGAUAAGGGAAUGGGACACUUCAAGCUUCAAGUAUGGCUUGAUGCACCAUCUUCCUUCCCAUGGCCUCUUUUCUCCUCUCUGGAGACUGAAAUAUAUGUUCUGCUUGAUUUAGGAUGGGGUUGAAGAAGCACAGACAAAUUCUGACUCCUUGCUGACCAUCCUCUGCAGAUGGAGUGAAACUCAAUUGAUUAGUUUCUAUUGUGACCCUCACAUUGCAGCCCUGCUUCUCCAGGUCCUCUUGCAAAUUCCCUAGGAUGCUCCUCAGAUUGACAUGGCCAGUCCUGUGGUUUCUCAGAGAAUGAAAGACAAUUUUGUGUGGAUAUAGGUAGUUUACAUGUAAGGGGUGAGUUAUAUCCUCUUAUUACCAUAUUAUUUGUUGAAGAUAGGAAUCCACGCACGUCAACCAAGGUACCGACUACAAUAUACUGCCGACCAUAAGUUUAGUGAUGAGGCUUUUAAAACAAAUGAAAGUAGGGGGCACAAUAAUUCCUUUAGAAGAAGACUCACAACUGGCAUACAGACAUUUGAUGAAGCUUGACCAAAUUAACAUUAAUUCAAAUGUUCAACAAUCAUUUAGAAGCAAAACAGACAGCACUAGGCCAGCAAACCUAGCCAUCUCCCUUUUCACUUCUCAAUCAAGACUUCAAAUUAUAUCAAGGAGAAAGUCUCUGUGUGAACCUUUGGCAUCUGCCUAGCACUGCCUAAUUACCUUUUAUCAUUAUGCAAUCCAACUAGAUAAUGCCAUCUCCACAGAACCCAUACAAUCAUCCACGGAUGCCCUAUCAUAACAGUGCAAUAAGUUGAAUUACUGCCCAGCAAUUAUUCACCACUUUCAUGUAUUCUGUAUCUUUACCUUGUGGCUUUGUGGUUCCUCCCACUGAAGGUGGAGUAUACCUCCCCACACCCUGACUUUGGGUUUGACCCUGAGGUUAGCUGAACCCACUGGGAUGAUAGCUGACAUGAUCCAAGCAGAGGCUGGGUCUGCACUUGUGCCACUGUGCGUGUCUCUUGUACUUCUGUCAACACCAUGAAAAAAGAGCAACUUCUGGCCAGCUGUUGCUCCUCAGCCUGAGGUUCCAGACCAAGCAUAUGAGGAUCAGACCUGAGCACAACUCGCAGUGAGGAGCCAAACCCAGAUGGACACACGUUUUGAGGUGGAGCUAUUGAGGCAAGGCCAGACUAGGUCAGCCAACCCCAGCCAGCCCCAGACAUACUGUGAGUUACAUCUUACAGGGUCACAGCCAAGAUUUCCAGAGACAAGGACACCUGUGGAGCUAUCAUUAUACACACCACUGUGAUUAAACUUCAGCUCACAUAGAAGCAACACGCACUGCUUUUGCCCGACUUCUGUUUUUGCAGUUGUGCUUCAACAGAAAAGGAAAUUUAUAGAGAUCGAGAUGGGACCCAUCAUUAUGGAGCAUGGGCCACAUGGGGGUGAGCACAUAUCCAGGAAUAAUCUCGAGUGGAGGUGCCUGGAAGAAGCCUCAGGACCACUGGAGUUGAAAGAUGACAAGACAUAAUGGGAGGAUGAUUGGAUUGAAAGCGGAGUCACUGAUACACCACUUUCCAGAAAUAACCGAGGACAGAUGCUGAACUAUUGCCACAAUCCCCUCCAUUGUCUAGAAAUGAGCUACACUGAUUUCAAAACUUCUAUUAUUUUGUGGCUCACAGGAUCACCAGAGAUGGAAUCUUUUGUAAGCUUGGGGAGCUUGCCUUUCUUUAUGUUCUCAUUUUUUGUCUUCCCCAAAUACUGAGUAGACAGGAAAGAAAAUAGGUUUUCUCAACUGUCUCUGGAUUCUUAGGGCUUCUUAUGCCCAAAAGGCACUGUUUGCAGCAAAGCCACCUUCAGGCCACUUGGAAAAGAAGAAGACUUUGCAGUAUAUACAUGUUUUCAUACAUUAGAAUGAGUUUUACUGUUUCAUGGUUCACACUGAUUUUUUAAACAAAAUUUUAUUAAGGGUUUUGGCAAGAGAAGGAUAUGUGGAAGAAAUUUUCAUUUGGCAAUAGCUGGGCUAUUUUUGGUUAGGAGACAAAGAAAAAUCUCCCUUGCAGUAUAAAAAAAUUAUAAUAAAACUCUAACUAUUCUAUAUCUUCCUUGUCUUCAGAUGAAUAAUUUACUCACUGGAAUUGCCUCUAAAACAUAUAUGCCUUUUGGGAAAAGGCAAAGAGGUGUAAGACGCUUGUGUGUUAGGAUGAAAUAGAAGACCCUACCAAAAUGCACGCUGCCCCUGUUUUUAUUUUUGUCUGUACAUCUUCUCCACUAAUAAUGGAGCUCUGUUGCAUUAUAUACCAGAUUCCAUGAAGAGCAAAAAAGCUUGUCUCUCUGGGUGAUGAUGAAAGACACACAAUUCUAGAGAAGACCACGGAUUCUCCAGAAAUUCAGCAAAGCAUGUCCUCCAUAGAGGCAUGAAUCUUUUACCAAUUCCUCAUAUUCCUUCCACUAAUCUACACUAUUUAUUUCCACCAGACUUUGCUGGAUCUACUGUUUUAAUGCCAGUGAAUUCUACUCUAGUUAGUCUGCCUCAAAACAGCACCAAAGGCCCAAAGUGCUUAGAUAUAAGAGUUGAAGUCUGGAGAAAGCAGUUGGAUGAAAGAGAAGAAAAGAAUAAGAAAAACUGAGCAUGAGGCAAGAGGAGGCAUGGUGAUCAAGGGACCUUGAUUCGCAACUGAAGCAAUGCAACUUUUAGAAAAAUAAGAAAGAGCCCUCUGCAAGCAUCCACAAUCAGCAACUCCAAUAAACUCUAUUUUCAAUAUACCUGCUCUGGCUAGAUUGCUUCUUUGUAAAAUAAUGUGCAUAUGUAAGAGGGAGACAGCCCAGCUACCAGGGCAUUGAGCCCACUGGCCCAAGGAAAUGAGGAAGGUCUGGAAUGUGAGACAGUGAAAUUUAAAGGAAAGCUUCCAAUAAGCCCAGCUGGCGGGUAAGCUGUGGGAUGGCAGACGAGGCAGCAGGGGCCCUUGUGGGUCCAUCUCUGUCUCACUGUCAGCCUGGCAGGAUAGCCCACCCGGGUCUGUUUGCUGGUGGGA
rnacentral:lncRNA from 1 species